GGGCUAGUCUUUGACCAGGCUUCUUUGGUUAAUUCCAUAUAAUUAAUUGGGUUCUUAGGUUGUCAAGGAACCAAAUGUGAAAACAACAGAAUUUUGCAGUGGCCAAAGAUGAAGUGUGUUAGAUAUCCCAGAUUGGAAGAGAACGAGAUGCUAGAUAAUAACAGUGCAUGGAAAGAUAUGUGUGCGCGAAUACCAAAUAGAUGUUGACUGCGCAAACUAUAUUGCUUUCAAGUUCAUAAGUAGCCCAACCUCCUGCAUUUAAAGUAAAAGGAUCUAAUUUUCCACACCUUGUGUGAGUUGAGCUAGGGACUAGGCAUGCAAAAAUUUAUGAAGGGGACAAGGGGAGGCACUUAAAAGAACCGAUGGAGAAAUGAUUUGUUCAUCUGAGAGUGCAGAUUUUAUUUUGUAUAAGAUGCAGUGAGUGAGUAUGGCAGCAGACGGAGGACUUAGUGACAUGGAUAUGUAGCAAAAGAGAGUGGUGAAACCGUAAAAAGAUACUUUAGGUGAAACGCUAUUAGGCUGUUAACUUCAGAACUAAUGUAUUUGUUGGUUCUUUUAAAAGAUGGGGUGGCAAAAAGAUUAAAAGUAUUGAUUGAAAAUGUCUCUUAAUAAUUUUAUUAAGCAUAACAAGGCUUUAAAUAGCCAAUUUAAGAACAGAAUCUGCAAAAAAUCAGGAGAAUA
rnacentral:lncRNA from 1 species